rnacentral:rRNA from 1 species
GAUGAACGCUGGCGGCGUGCCUAAUACAUGCAAGUCGAGCGAACAGACGAGGAGCUUGCUCCUCUGACGUUAGCGGCGGACGGGUGAGUAACACGUGGAUAACCUACCUAUAAGACUGGGAUAACUUCGGGAAACCGGAGCUAAUACCGGAUAAUAUAUUGAACCGCAUGGUUCAAUAGUGAAAGACGGUUUUGCUGUCACUUAUAGAUGGAUCCGCGCCGCAUUAGCUAGUUGGUAAGGUAACGGCUUACCAAGGCAACGAUGCGUAGCCGACCUGAGAGGGUGAUCGGCCACACUGGAACUGAGACACGGUCCAGACUCCUACGGGAGGCAGCAGUAGGGAAUCUUCCGCAAUGGGCGAAAGCCUGACGGAGCAACGCCGCGUGAGUGAUGAAGGUCUUCGGAUCGUAAAACUCUGUUAUUAGGGAAGAAAAAAUGUGUAAGUAACUAUGCACGUCUUGACGGUACCUAAUCAGAAAGCAACGGCUAACUACGUG